rnacentral:rRNA from 2 species
GUGGGCAACCUGCCUGUAAGACUGGGAUAACACCGGGAAACCGGUGCUAAUACCGGAUAAUCCUUUUCCUCUCAUGAGGAAAAGCUGAAAGUCGGUUUCGGCUGACACUUACAGAUGGGCCCGCGGCGCAUUAGCUAGUUGGUGAGGUAACGGCUCACCAAGGCGACGAUGCGUAGCCGACCUGAGAGGGUGAUCGGCCACACUGGGACUGAGACACGGCCCAGACUCCUACGGGAGGCAGCAGUAGGGAAUCUUCCACAAUGGACGAAAGUCUGAUGGAGCAACGCCGCGUGAGCGAUGAAGGCCUUCGGGUCGUAAAGCUCUGUUGUUAGGGAAGAACAAGUACCGGAGUAACUGCCGGUACCUUGACGGUACCUAACCAGAAAGCCACGGCUAACUACGUGCCAGCAGCCGCGGUAAUACGUAGGUGGCAAGCGUUGUC